rnacentral:tRNA from 1 species
GCUCCAUUGGCGCAGUUGGUUAGCGCGUGGUACUUAUAAGACUAAGAAGUGCCAAAGUCGGGAGUUCGAACCUCCCAUGGAGCA